AGAUGAUGAUGCAGACAAUUUCUUUAAAGCUCUUUGAAGCGUUCCCAAGCUUGAUGUAUAGAUUCGCCUUGUAAUUGUAAAAAAUUUAUAAUCUCCUUGGUCAUCCU